GGCUCAGUUGGUAGAGCAUGGUGCUUGCAAUGGUGUUUGCAACGCCAGGGUUGUGGGUUCGAUUCCCAC
rnacentral:tRNA from 1 species